rnacentral:rRNA from 1 species
AUUGAACGCUGGCGGCAGGCCUAACACAUGCAAGUCGAGCGGAUGAAGGGAGCUUGCUCCUGGAUUUAGCGGCGGACGGGUGAGUAAUGCCUAGGAAUCUGCCUGGUAGUGGGGGAUAACGUCCGGAAACGGGCGCUAAUACCGCAUACGUCCUGAGGGAGAAAGUGGGGGAUCUUCGGACCUCACGCUAUCAGAUGAGCCUAGGUCGGAUUAGCUAGUUGGUGGGGUAAAGGCCUACCAAGGCGACGAUCCGUAACUGGUCUGAGAGGAUGAUCAGUCACACUGGAACUGAGACACGGUCCAGACUCCUACGGGAGGCGGCAGUGGGGAAUAUUGGACAAUGGGCGAAAGCCUGAUCCAGCCAUGCCGCGUGUGUGAAGAAGGUCUUCGGAUUGUAAAGCACUUUAAGUUGGGAGGAAGGGCAGUAAGUUAAUACCUUGCUGUUUUGACGUUACCAACAGAAUAAGCACCGGCUAACUUCGUG